AUUGAACGCUGGCGGCAGGCCUAACACAUGCAAGUCGAGCGAGUGGCGGACGGGUGCGUAAUGUAUGGGGAUCUGCCCGAUAGAGGGGGAUAACUACUGGAAACGGUGGCUAAUACCGCAUACUAUCGGAUGAACCCAUAUGGGAUUAGCUAGUGGGUGGGGUAAAGGCUCACCUAGGCGACGAUCCCUAGCUGGUCUGAGAGGAUGAUCAGCCACACUGGAACUGGGACACGGUCCAGACUCCUACGGAAGGCAGCAGUGGGGAAUAUUGCACAAUGGGCGCAAGCCUGAUGCAGCCAUGCCGCGUGUAUGAAGAAGGCCUUGGGGUUGUAAAGUACUUUCAGCGGGGAGGCGUUACCCGCAGAAGAAGCACCGGCUAACUCCGUGCCAGCAGCCGCGGUAAUAC
rnacentral:rRNA from 1 species